rnacentral:rRNA from 1 species
AUUGAACGCUGGCGGCAGGCUUAACACAUGCAAGUCGAGCGGGGGAAGGUAGCUUGCUACCGGACCUAGCGGCGGACGGGUGAGUGAUGCUUAGGAAUCUGCCUAUUAGUGGGGGACAACAUCUCGAAAGGGAUGCUAAUACCGCAUACGUCCUACGGGAGAAAGCAGGGGAUCUUCGGACCUUGCGCUAAUAGAUGAGCCUAAGUCGGAUUAGCUAGUUGGUGGGGUAAAGGCCUACCAAGGCGACGAUCUGUAGCGGGUCUGAGAGGAUGAUCCGCCACACUGGACUGAGACACGGCCCAGACUCCUACGGGAGGCAGCAGUGGGGAAUAUUGGACAAUGGGGGGAACCCUGAUCCAGCCAUGCCGCGUGUGUGAAGAAGGCCUUAUGGUUGUAAAGCACUUUAAGCGAGGAGGAGGCUACUUUAGUUAAUACCUAGAGAUAGUGGACGUUACUCGCAGAAUAAGCACCGGCUAACUCUGUGCCAGCCGCCGCCGUAA